GGUUCCAUGGUGAAAUGGUUAGCAUUCUGGAUUUUGGUUCUGGAUUUGAGUUCAAAUCUCGGUGGAACCU